rnacentral:lncRNA from 1 species
UUUCGAAAUCCGCUGUCCAUUUAAAGAAAUAGCGGCCGCUACCAACCGAAAUAGGUGACUCGACUACGAAGUUGACAGGACGUAUUCCCGAAGAUAACACCCCUCCCCAGGACCGCUUCUCUGAAAUCGUCAUUGGCCGAGUGGAUGACCCUAGGGUCCUGCCGGGGGAGGAAUCUUUGGCUGGAAACACAAUUGAAGGAACAUUCGAAUUUAGGAGAAGCAACAUGAGUAAUCCUGAGGAUAGGAAUGAAAGUGACAUGUCACUCCUGAUCCAAAGCUGGAAAGAGUGGGUUUGAGUUCUCCAUGUGUUCCUUUACCCGGCUGCAACGAUGUACAGCAUACCCGACAGCGACGCCUUCAUCAGUAAACUUCUAUCACUCAAGAUUGAAUCCUCAUCUUGUAUCAGAAUCAGCCAGCUGUCGGCCAAAAUUUGUGAUCCUGUGCAGAGAAUUGAGUUGUCACUGGAAGCAGCUACCCAGACAAGGACUAGAUUUUCCCAUUCCUCCUGCACCAGAAGUUGUCUUCCUUCCGAUGCCAACCUGUGGAAUCUGAAACCAGAUGACCAUGAGAUCCAGGAGACAGCAGAGCCAAAAGGGAAAAAAAACCCUGGAUUCCUGAAUCACCAAAUGGAAGAAAGCCACCCACAGAUCAGUAACACCCAUCCUGGCCUGUGAUGUGAGUGAGAAAGAAACUUUGAUUUUACAUAAGUCUGCAGUGGAGGAUGGAGAAAAUUAAGAUUGUAUGUUUUCAAAUGACCCAAUAAACCCAAUGCUGCCUUGGACA